ACACAUUUUUAUAGUAAUGGCAAUGGAUGGAGGGAUGAUCGUGGCUGUGGAAUGCAAUUUAUGAAUUACCGUUGCCUAGUAACAUCCUAAAGACCAAAGCGUGCCAUAAACUAACUUUCUAGCUAGAUUAGGCUUGUUUGUUAACCUCUAGGGUAGUUGCAGGAAAUAUGUGCAACGUAUUUCAAGACGCCACUACAAGACAACCAAGGACUUUAGCUGGGGGCCAGUUUGCCGGGAUCCAGAAAAAGACAUGGAGCUCUGGAGUGAUGGAUUGCUGUGUCGACAGAGAUGUCUGUCUCUGUGGGUUUUUCUGUCCAUGCAUUCAGGCCAUUAAGAUGGCAGAGAAAUACGGAGAGUGUUUCCUACUCUCUCAUGUUCCAUGGACACAUUUUAUGUUGCGAACCAGCAUUCGAGAGAGGUAUAACAUAGAGGGAACCAUUUGCGAUGACUGGUGUGUGACUGCUUUCUGCGGACCAUGUGUUCAAUGCCAAAUGGUUCGUGAAGUCAAUAAGGAGAUUCCUAACUGACAGAGCCGGAAAGUGAAUGCUGACCCGCAAAGUGUUGUCUCCCGCACCUUGUUAUGAAAAUGUUAAUUAAAUUGUUGCAGUGAGGACCCUCAAGUUUUUGUACAACAAACUUCUUAUGGUUACAUUAGGACUGCUGUCAUCUGAAGAAUAUGCCUGCAAGUCAACAAACGUUUUAUGUUCCUCUGACUAUACAGCACUAUGUGAGCACAACCCUUUAUCCAAAUCCUCAGCAGUAAGAAAAAACAAGACACAGUACCAUGUGACUGUCAGAUGUAUACAAUGUGCAAUAUAACUUACAGUAUUUUACUAUUUAUGAUAAGUCUGUUAUUACCAGAUUAUGGCUAAUUUAAAUGUAUUCAACUACCAGUUGUUUAUAUGAAAAGAAAUUUGAAAUAAGUACUACACAAGAAUAGUUCAGAAAUUAAAUUCUUGUUUUUUAACUUUUUGGAUUAUGUGUGAAUUGCUAGAUAUUACUGCACUGUUGGAGCUAGAAACAUAAGCAUUUCGCUGCACCUGCGAUAACAUCUGCAGAUCUGUAUUACGCGACCAAUAAACUUUGAUUUGAAAGUCGGUCUUUGACCUAAUCAACAAGCACCAAGUUCAAUAAAAAUACUAACAAAGUUACAAAAUAUCCAGUUAACCACAAGUCAUUCCUGUGGCAGUAGGACUUUAGGACCAUUUCAAUUCAAAUGUUAUUCGUCAUAUGCUUCAUAAACAACAGGUGUAGACUAACACUGAAAUGCUUACAUACGGUCCCUU